AUGAGCACCCAUCUCCGACUCGAUUUACAACUGGCCACUCCCGAAUACGUACGCCAUAUAGAAACACAGUACCGGCUUCCCUGUUUUUCAUACUACAAAAAAUCUCUGCGUCCCAACUCUCGUCACACAUCCAAAAUCGACAAGCCCGCCCGCAUCGGCGCGAUGAUGAACUCGUUCUUCGGGCCGGUGGACGGGGUCCUAGGCCUCAUAAUGGCGUGGCUUCUGCUCUUGAUCCCUGCUGUGGGGUUCUUAGCCGCAAUCGCAGUGUGCCUCUGGAGCCUCUGCGGCGGCGAGCGAGCGGCAGAAGCAAACGCACCCGGACGACGAUUGGGCCGAUUGGCCGAGCUGAUGGCGGCCAUUGAACGGGCGGAGCAGAUGAGGCCGGCGGCGGUGGCGCCAGCGCCGGAGCUGAUGGUGGAGCUGGGGUACUUCCCGUACUCGGCGGAGGGCAGGCGGGCGUCGGAGAGGCUGGUGUGCGCGAUCUGCCUGGAGGAGUUCCAGCAGGGACAGGCGUGCAGCGAGGUGCCGGCGUGCCGGCACGUGUUCCACCGGUACUGCAUCGACGUGUGGACGAAGAGCAAGACCACCUGCCCGCUGUGCAGGCGGAAUAUCGUGGCCGGGUCAGAACGAGUAUCGGCUGCCAUUGACAUGGUUUAG
rnacentral:rRNA from 1 species